UACGGGGGGGGCAAGCGUUGUUCGGAAUUACUGGGCGUAAAGGGCUCGUAGGCGGCCAACUAAGUCGGACGUGAAAUCCCUCGGCUUAACCGGGGAACUGCGUCCGAUACUGGAUGGCUUGGAUUUGGGAGAGGGAUGCGGAAUUCCAGGUGUAGCGGUGAAAUGCGUAGAUAUCUGGAGGAACACCGGUGGCGAAGGCGGCAUCCUGGACCAAUAUUGACGCUGAGGAGCGAAAGCUAGGGGAGCAAACGGG
rnacentral:rRNA from 1 species